UCUAACAUGUACGCGAGUCAUUGGGCUCUGCGAAACCUAAAGGCGAAAUGAAAGUAAAGGCUAGGCACUUGUGCCAAGCUGAGGGGUGAUGGCCGUCCCUCGUGGACGGCCCGCAACCCCGGGGCGUCGCGUUCUCUUUGAGAAGUGGCGCACCCAGAGCGUACACGUUGGGACCCGAAAGAUGGUGAACUAUGCCUGGCCAGGACGAAGUCAGGGGAAACCCUGAUGGAGGUCCGUAGCGAUUCUGACGUGCAAAUCGAUCGUCGGAGCUGGGUAUAGGGGCGAAAGACUAAUCGAACCAUC
rnacentral:rRNA from 1 species